rnacentral:rRNA from 1 species
GCUUGUCUCAAAGAUUAAGCCAUGCAUGUCUAAGUGUAAAUAAGUCUAUACUGUGAAACUGCGAAUGGCUCAUUAUAUCAGUUAUAGUUUAUUUGAUGGUCCUUGCUACUUGGAUAACCGUAGUAAUUCUAGAGCUAAUACAUGCAUCAGACCCCGACUGUUUGGAAGGGGUGUAUUUAUUAGAUGGAAACCAAUGCGGGGCAACCCGGAUUAUGGUGAUUCAUAAUAACUUUCAGAUCGAUCGCAAGAUCGAUGCAUCAUUCAAGUUUCUGCCCUAUCAGCUUUGGAUGGUAGGGUAUUGGCCUACCAUGGCUUUAACGGGUAACGGAGAAUUAGGGUUCGAUUCCGGAGAGGGAGCCUGAGAAAUGGCUACCACAUCCAAGGAAGGCAGCAGG